GACGAGCGCUGGCGGCGUGCCUAAUACAUGCAAGUUGAGCGCUGAAGGUUGGUACUUGUACCAACUGGAUGAGCAGCGAACGGGUGAGUAACGCGUGGGGAAUCUGCCUUUGAGCGGGGGACAACAUUUGGAAACGAAUGCUAAUACCGCAUAAAAACUUUAAACACAAGUUUUAAGUUUGAAAGAUGCAAUUGCAUCACUCAAAGAUGAUCCCGCGUUGUAUUAGCUAGUUGGUGAGGUAAAGGCUCACCAAGGCGAUGAUACAUAGCCGACCUGAGAGGGUGAUCGGCCACAUUGGGACUGAGACACGGCCCAAACUCCUACGGGAGGCAGCAGUAGGGAAUCUUCGGCAAUGGACGAAAGUCUGAACGAGCAACGCCGCGUGAGUGAAGAAGGUUUUCGGAUCGUAAAACUCUGUUGGUAGAGAAGAACGUUGGUGAGAGUGGAAAGCUCAUCAAGUGACGGUAACUACCCAGAAAGGGACGGCUAACUACGUG
rnacentral:rRNA from 1 species